AAAAAGAUAAGCUAAUUAAGCUAAUAGGUUCAUACCCUACUUAUAGGAGUAUAACCCUCCUUCUUUUUA
rnacentral:tRNA from 1 species